rnacentral:lncRNA from 1 species
GACUACGCAAUUUUUCUCAUUUGAUUAUUGACUUCUGAAACUAAUAUUAAGAGCUCUGAUUUUCCUUAUCUUCAUCGAUCCUGCUUUUCACUUGAAAAAAUUCUUAAAGUCAUCCCUGUUACAUUUUCUCAAUCAAUUUUAAGUACAAAAUCAAAGAAAAAAAAAUUAGGGUUUUCUAUAAAUUUCUCUGAAUUUCUGAAUCUGAAGCAACAUGUGGAAUAAUAUAAAGUUUCACCGUUGUGAGAGAUGGCUAACAUCUUCAGUCUCUCAUCAAUCUUUGCACGUUUGCUUCUGUUAACGAUAGCCUUUGCUUUGUUUAUGCAGUUGAGUGUUGGUUCAGGUUAGUCUUCGUCGUGAAUCAUGAAAAUGCAUAGAAGAAUAUCAUCACGAUCACUUCCCCCACCUAUAUGCUGUUCAUUUUUUUGGACAAAUUUCCGUAUCAUAAAAACGUAGGAUUUUGAUCAUUCUGGAUAAACGUUUUGAACCGUUGACAUCAUCUUGUUGUUUUAAUUUGCAGAUCUGAAUAUGAGGAAACUGGGUGUAUUGCCAUCACCACCUCCGCCACCACGUCGAAACUCAGCACCAGGGCCUGCAAGAUAAAUUAGGGCUACCAUGACCAAGAAAAUUUUCAUGUUAUUCUUGUUCCAUAAAUAAAUAUUCCCUUAUUUUAGAUAUAAUUGCAAGAUAUAUAUUUUAUUUAUAUUUUCGACUUAAUAAAAGAUAUAUAUAAUUAUCUUCUUUAGCGUGACGAGAGAAAAUAAUUCCAUAUGAAAAAUUUUCCUUUCUGAUCCCAUGAUUCUCUUUAUGUGAUUGUUUAGGAUAACUAAUGGAUCUACUCACAAGUCUAAAGGCAAUUUUUUCUUCUCUAUUGUGGCAAAUAAAUCUACCAACAGUAUAUUUGAACAAGUUUCCAUCAACUGAACCUUCGUACUUACCAUUUUUAAUUUCACG